rnacentral:rRNA from 1 species
UACGUAUGGAGCAAGCGUUAUCCGGAUUUACUGGGCGUAAAGGGAGCGUAGGCGGCCUGCCAAGUCUGAUGUGAAAUACCGGGGCCCAACCCCGGGGCUGCAUUGGAAACUGGCAGGCUGGAGUGCCGGAGAGGCAGGCGGAAUUCCUAGUGUAGCGGUGAAAUGCGUAGAUAUUAGGAGGAACACCAGUGGCGAAGGCGAUUUGCUGGGCCAUUACUGACGCUCAUGCACGAAAGCGUGGGGAGCAAAUAGG